rnacentral:lncRNA from 1 species
CAGAAUCGGUAAACUGAUGUUGAUGUAAAAACAAACGUGGAACUAUUGGAAUGUUACAUCACUGCCCCUUAUUUUUGUACUGCAGCAAUGGAAUCGUUUCAUGUGGGGUGAUUUGACUUGAAUAUAGUGCAGUAAGUAGUUAAUACUUGUGGAAUUCCCUAGAUAUGUGGGUAAUCAAUGUUUUGGGAAUCUUCCAGGGACUAGUUGCUAGUAAAUGUUCAGGUUUGAUUGGAUGGACCAACUUUCCCCAUGCUUAGUUUUCCCUUCUCUUCCCCUCUAAGCCACUGUUUUCUUUCCAGGGGUCGGCAGCUGGUCCUAAAUUCCUGGUGGUCCUGAAGCCCUGACCCGGCUUGUCAGGAUUGUAUGCUGUGAAUGGCUUCCACGGCCACCCGGUCAGAUGGAUCUAUAUGUAGGAGCUGCAGUAGCACGCCGUCAGUGAAGGCUUUGAGCGAGCCCAUCUCGAAGAAAGAUCACUGACUACCACAUGACAGUAGUUAUCUCCUGACCAAAUAGGUUUUCUCAAGUUCAUUUGGUUACAUUGACCUUUGACAUUUGACUCAUGUGUUUGUGUUAUCAUGCUGCAAUGCAAAGACAUUACAACUCAAAAGCACUGUAUUAAAAUAUUGCAUUUGCCUAACCAAUAAAGUAUUUUUAUUAACUAAGUGAUUUAUUUUUUAAACUUCUGAGUGACUGGAGAAAAAUAAUAGGUCCCUUGGAAAA